UCUUCGGGGGGUGAGGGGAAGAAGGGAGAGAGAAGGGGGGACAGCAACCAGCAGGCUGGGGCGCAGGCAGAAAGCCGGGGGGCCAGCAGCAAGCAGCAAAGCGGCAAAAGCCCCGGAGGCCAGCCCCCAACUCCCCCACAGCAGCUCGGGGGAGGGGCCGGGGCCACCACGGGAGCAGACAGCUCCAUGGCGGGGGCAGGGAGAGGAGCUAGUCAUAACACCAACCCAGGACGAGGAGGACAGAAGUGUUGCCAGUGUGAACAACUAAAACCAAACCACAGAAGUGCAGUUGUACUGACUUUUUCCAAUUACACAGCCAAUGAAGGGAGAUGGAAGCAAGGCAGAUGAACACUUGUAAUAUGAAGUUGGGUAACCCAAGAGGAUUGAAAAGUGAAUGGAAGGUAAAUGUUAAUUUAAAAUAUAAAAUGUCUUCUUGAUGUUAUUUCUCUGUGCAGUUCAGUAACUUCUGAAAGUAAAGUAGCUCUAGCCUGAAUCUGGAGUAAAUCAAGAACAAAAUAAUAAUUGUAGUUUACUCUGUAGCCACAUUUUUCAGUCUCUGGUAAUCUAGUUUCCCUGAUCUGAUACCCUUGUAUUUAAUCAGUAAAAAUGCAAAAUCCAUUUCCACUGUCUCAGAUGGUUCUGUUGGAGGGCAACGCUGUGGUACCUAUAUUCCUGUACUACAUCUGAUGGCAGUACCACUGUUAUCAGCACAAACUUGCCACUUCCAGUAGAAAGUUGCCUUGCAGCAUGAAGCAAUGAAGAAAUUCAGGGGUUCAUGCAGGCUAAUUUUAGGGCGGAAAAAAAAUUGAGGUGGAGAAAAAAAAAUUGAGGUGGAGGUAAAAAAAGUUUAUUUAAAAUAUUAAAAUUUUGUCAUAUGCAAAAGGUCAGUGUGAUUCAAUGAGAAUCUGUAAAUGCAUAGAUACAUAGCCUCUUCCUAAUGACUCCUGUGAGCCAAGCCUGCAGUGAGGAUGAGAACACCUCCCUGUGGCGGCAGGGAUGAGAUGGAGCCCUGAUGAAAUCUGAAAGAUGGCAUGCAUUUUGCCACAGAGCUCUCUCAUCCAAUUAAGCCAAGGUAAUUCAAAUAAAACAAGGUAGCUUGAACAUGUAGUUUAAUCAAAUUUCCCUUUUGGUGGCAAUUGUGAAAAAAUAAGAAAAAAAAAUUAGAAAUUAGAAAAAAUUAAAAAAAUAAAGAAAAAAGAUAUUCCAGUUCCACAGAUGCUUACUUGAAAUCAAAACCAUGAUUUUCCUUCUAUUAGGUUUUAGGCUCUAUCUCCACACUUUUCUACUUUUCUCCACAAGCUUUUCUACUCUGUUUCCUCCCAUAGUGUAUUAACAACUAUAUCAAAUAAAGAGAGCACAUAAUUUUUCAAGAAUGUUUUAAUGAAAAUGAAAACUGGAAAUCAUUAAGAAAAUGUGUUAGCCAGCAUGUCAGAAACAAUCCAUGGCCCAAAAUAAUCAAAUGAGAAUAACUGAAUUUCUGAGUUAAUGCAGAAAUAUGUGGUGUCUAAAACCUUUUGAAUUAAUCUUUUCCUUAAAAAUCUAGAAUAUCAAAAAUAAAAACAAACCACCACCACAAAACAAAACAGGAUUUUCUCCCUGUAAUAUUAGUUAGAGAAUAUUUCAGAUAGAACACUUAAAAAAAAGUUUCAACAGAAAAAAAAACCUACAACACUAAUAUAUCCAUUGGUCAGAAGUAUUGUAAAAAUUUUUGAAUGCCGAAUA
rnacentral:lncRNA from 1 species